ACCCCAAGGCCCCAGGCCCAACAUUAGGAAAACUAACCCCUGUGCCCUGAAGCUGCAAGAUGUUCCAUAUAGAUAACCCCGGAAGGGCCAAACUUGAGCAAACAGGGUAAAAACAGGAACUAAAAGGACAGGAUGCAAUUUUAUGGUUUUUCUGAGAACUAAAGUGGGAAAACAAGUUUACCCCCCUAGGUGACUCAACUGCUGAAUUCAGAGGGACCAAUAGGAAGGCUGUUGCUGUGCUAAGCUAAGACCUAACCCACCUGUCCCCUAUAAAAGAUCUAUACCCCAAAGCCCGGUGUGCCAGUUCACCGAAGCUCCGGCUGAGGUUUUGCUGUGCACCCGCAGGCGCCUGUGUGAGAAUAAACGCCUCCUGCUUUUUGCAGCCAGUGUCUCGUGUGGUUCAUUCCGGGUUUGGGAUCUGUGGAUAUUUCAUUGUGGAGGUCCCACCGAGAUCCAAGAUCCCGGUUCCGGUUCCGAUCCCGGUCCCUAUCCGGAGGACACCCGACAUCACUGGGAGACUCAUUUGCAUGCUUUGCAAUUGGUCCAGAACGAGGUCUGGAAGCCUCUAGCCGCAGCAUACAAAGAGGAACUUAAAACCCCCUUGCUGCCACAUCCCUUCAAGGUCGGAGAUACCGUCUGGGUACGCAGGCACCAGAGCAGGAACCUCGAACUGCGGUGGAAAGGACCCUACACUAUCCUGCUGACCACUCCUACUGCACUCAAAGUGGACGGCAUCGCUGCUUAGAUCCAUGCUUCCCACGUGAAGACUGCACAUCCACAGGAGUCCGCAGACACCUCUCCGGAUCCAGAAUGGAAGUUGCAACGUACCCAAAAUCCGCUAAAGAUAAGACUCACUCGCUGUUAAUUUUUCUUGCUUUGUGCUGUGUCUUCCCCAUAUCAGUUAACCCCAACCAAUCUGUGAGCCAGACAUGACAAGUAUUAUCGGGGACAAGAAAUAUAAUUUAAAAAAAAAAAAAAAAAAAAAACAGGAUCCCCCACUUUCUGCCGACUCUUGCAGGAGCCUGAAAUGGUACGGGGCAGGGCCAUGUACCGCAUUUGCCUGCAACCCCUUAAACAUUACCUUUACUCAGGCAGGCAAAGCAUCAAAAGAUUAGAUAAAAAAAAAAAACAAUGGGGCCUGAAAAUAUAUCAUAAAACUGCCUAUGACCCUGGGGUCCUAUUCAAAAUUAGAUUAAUAGUAAAUACCAACCCCCAACCAGUAUGCUGAGCCGUCAGCUGAAAUAAUGCUGGAAUCCGAGCAGAUGGGUCAAUGGAUAUAAGAUUAUAUCCAUGAUAUAAAAAAAGGGGGGAAUGAAGGACCCCAAGGCCCCAGGCCCAACAUUAGGAAAACUAACCCCUGUGCCCUGAAGCUGCAAGAUGUUCCAUAUAGAUAACCCCGGAAGGGCCAAACUUGAGCAAACAGGGUAAAAACAGGAACUAAAAGGACAGGAUGCAAUUUUAUGGUUUUUCUGAGAACUAAAGUGGGAAAACAAGUUUACCCCCCUAGGUGACUCAACUGCUGAAUUCAGAGGGACCAAUAGGAAGGCUGUUGCUGUGCUAAGCUAAGACCUAACCCACCUGUCCCCUAUAAAAGAUCUAUACCCCAAAGCCCGGUGUGCCAGUUCACCGAAGCUCCGGCUGAGGUUUUGCUGUGCACCCGCAGGCGCCUGUGUGAGAAUAAACGCCUCCUGCUUUUUGCA